UACAGAGGUCUCGAGCGUUGUUCGGAUUCAUUGGGCGUAAAGGGUGCGUAGGUGGCGCUGUAAGUCGGGUGUGAAAUCCUGAGGCUUAACCUCGGAACUGCAUUCGAUACUGCGGCGCUUGAGGACUGGAGAGGAGACUGGAAUUCAUGGUGUAGCAGUGAAAUGCGUAGAGAUCAUGAGGAAGACCAAUGGCGAAGGCGGCUGACUGGUCCGGUUCUGACGCUGAGGCGCGAAAGCGUGGGGAGCAAACAGG
rnacentral:rRNA from 1 species